ensembl:lincRNA uncharacterized LOC106150352
CGGUACUGGGAAUCAAACUCAGGACCUUGCGCUUGCCAGACAGGUGCUUGUGCUGCUGAGCUAUAUCCCUGACCCUCUGCAGAAAUUAUUCAAAAUAGUCAAAGAUAAAGGCAGUGCAAGAGAUGGCCUAACAUCAAGUCUUCUAUUUUCAGUCGUCUGUUUCUCCAAAUUAGGAAGUUUCCCACAGUCAUCAAAACCAUCACAUUUGAAUUUAAAAAGGAUUUAGCAGAGCUGUGCCUUUCAGUGAACUCAGUCUGUUUCCUUGUUGUUCCUGCUGCUUCCAGUGGGCCAAGAGUGAGCACGAUACCAUACACCCCACCAGCACUGAAGGACCCAUUCUUCCACACCUUCCUGUGCCAAGUCUGUCAAAGAACCAAGAGAGACUCAGAGUGGAGCACGCUGUAAAGAUCAAGACAUCGUGUACAUGCUUUAGAAAGUGCUGUGCUACUUUGCUUCUGCACAUGCAGACUGCCUGGGUGCUGAAUGCACAGGGGAAAAAAGACCAAUGAGAAAAUAGCACCUAAGAAUGCAGCGCGGUACUGACAGCUAUGCACUUUUAGCUGCAGAACACCCUUGCUGCUGAGGUCCAGGGCUAUGGUUUCACUUACCUGACAUAAGCAGAUGGUGAAAUACACUCCAGGGAGCUGGGUGGACCAACAUUCUGCACAGGGAAGGCAACUAGAGAGCCAAGGCCAGAACAUUUUGAGGCUUCUUCAGAUAUCACUCGUUCUUCGCACGAACUUGGAUAAAUCACUGGUUCUUCCUCACCCUGAGCUGCCCCAUGUGUGGAGUGCAGCUGUGAUGCGUGGAAUCCGCGUGAGUGUUGGUACCACUUGCAUAUGUAAGGGACUCAAUGGUUUUUUGCAAUGGCUCACACAUAGGAACAAGUCAACACCGACAACUGACUGCACUGUGAUGAAGAAGCUGCUGCCUUGAGUACAUGGGCACUGGGAAGUGAAGAUUGGCUUGUCAUGCUCCCCUUUCCUGUGUCAUCUAUGUGGUCAGUGUUGCACAUGCUGAAGUGAUAAGGUGUACAGCCGGGAGCAAAGCAGGAGGUGAACCUAAAGAAGCUGCUUGUGCAGAAAGUAAGGAUGUGCUCAAAAUCUGACAAGUCAGUCUGUGAGCACAGGAGCCAGACUGAAGGAGCAGUGAGUGGAGACUGCAGGGUGGAGGUGUGGGUCCUGCAGAAGAGUGAUCCAGGUAGAACAGCGUCCUCCCGGGAAGCACAGAUGCUGCUGUGAGCUCAAGGAGAAGUAGAGGGCCAGGGAAGCUGGACUGAGAAAGCAAAGUGCAAAACAUUCAUUCAACAGCUGUCAGAGAGGUUCUGGGGACCCCACACGAAGGGCCUGUGAUCCACUCCUGAGGACGUGGAUGUCAACUCUGAGUGCUGGGAAGCUGAUGGUGGAUUGUGAUCGAAGAGCCCCGCUGGCCUGACUCAUAUUUGGAAAGGACCACACUGGUGAGUGUGUCAAGAGUCAACCUUGCAUUAGGGGGACAUGCAGGCAGGGGAGGGAGGCCAUUGCUGUCUUUCAGGCCAUAAAAGGUGGUGGCCCGGGUCAGGAAGGUACCUUGCAAGGAGUCACACUGUGCAGGCAGAGGCAGCAAGGUUCCCUGUGGGCUUUGAGUGACGUAGAUGAGACGGGGUGGAGGAAGGUGUCCACAGCAACACUGUGGAGGUGACACUCAGCAGGCCCUGGGGUGGGCUUCGGUCCAGACGUACC